AAUUAUUGCAUUCGGGCAGCUUGGUGGGGCACUGGUUAGCAUGUCUGCCUCACAAUUAGGAGGGCGCGGGUUCUAUUCCACCUCCGGCCCUCCCUGUGUGGAGUUUGCGUGUUCUCCCCGUGCCUGCAUGGGU